AAAAAACUCAAAUAAUGCUUUUCAAAAAAUUCAAAAUCACUCAAUAAUUUUGUGAAAUAAUUUUUUUAAAUGAAUAGGGUGUGUGACGGUGCCAAAUGUGGGGUGGCACAGUGCAGAAUAGUUACGGCCCACCCCACAAUCCAAAGCCACGAGGCGACAAAAAAAACCUCAGAACCAGACGAAACAGUUCUUGCAUUCGUCGGAGAAGCCGACAAUUCAAAAUUAACCAGGUACAGUGUGGACAUUGAUGAUGCUGAUGUCUUCUUCCCUUUUUGGGACAUUGAUGGUCCUGAAUCCUGAUGUAGCUGCUAGUGAGGGUCUAGAAAUGUCAGCAAGAAAAAGUCACUACUAUGAUACUGGGAUUUCCAUUAUGAAGGAUAAGAUUACACGAUUGCCAGUAAUUAUGUUGUGAAGAAUUCAUUCUACAUUCCCAAACCUGCUUUUAACUGGAGAAUAAAUUCUUAAUGCUGUGAGUUUGGAAAAAUCUCUUGUGAAGCAAUACUCAUGGAGUCAUAUGAGCAAAUAUACUUAUCAGAUAAUGAUGUUUCUACAGUUAAGAAUUUUUCUUCUUCCAUAAGCAUUAUUUUGGAGUAUUAACACUAAUUAUUGAGAUGGAGAAUAUAAUUCAGUGAAAUCAUUAUUCUUUUAUGGAGUGAAUGUAAUUAUUCCAUGUUGACAAUUAACUCAA